UUGUCCUUUGUGUGCUAAAGAAAAGAUUUUCUUUUCGCAUCAUGAGGAACUAUUACAUCAAUUAAAAAAUGUUAGGAAGUUGAUUACUUGUCAUGGAAAAGUAUACCAAUGGAAAUUAUUUGUUAAAGAAGUAUAAUUCUAAGGGUUUUAAGAAUAAAUUGGUUGAACCCAAAAUCUGGAGGAAGUACCUAUAUCCAUACACAGAAUAUGCCCAUUAAAAAUACUAGUCCAAAUUUGCUUUAAUGGUAGACAAUUAUUCAAUACAAAUUAACUUUUUAAGUGACUGAAAUAUUAAAUAGUUUAGAAUAUGGUAUAACAAUGUAAAAAAAUAUUAUUUUCAGGAACGAUUAGGGCCCGAUAUAUUUGAAACUCAUGUUGGACAUAGUAUUGAGUUGGGUAGAAUAUUAUUCUACGUUAAGUGAGGGUAUCAGAUACCUAUUAUUGUACUGUAUUUUAAUAUAUACAUUAGAAUUGUUGGUUUUUU